CAGUGCCUCCUCGAGAGGCAUUGGUGCUGUAGGGAAGCCGAAGAGUGUGCUACCUGGGAAGUAUAGUCGCAAGGCCGAAACUUAAAGGAAUUGGCGGGGAGACACUACAACGGGUGACGCGUGCGGUUCAAUUAGAUUCUACACCAUGAACCUCACCAGGAGCGACAGCAGAAUGAAGGUCAGUCUAAAGGGCUUACCUGACACGCUGAGAGGAAUCGCAAGGCCGACGUCAGCCUGUGCCGUAAGGUGACCUGUUAAAUCAGGUAACAGGCAAGACCCACAUGUAUAUUUAUAUUUCUAUAUACAGAUUGCCUUGGUAACAAGGAUGAAAGUGUGGGCUACGUUAGGUUAGUUCAGUCCAAAUCCCCUGGGCGACACGCGCGCGUCAAUGCUGAAUACAAAGAGAUGCGACUCCGAAAGGAGAAGCUAAUCUCAUAAAGUUCAGCUUAGUUCAGAUCGAGGUUUGUAACUCGGCCUCGUGACGCUGGAAUCCGUAGUAAUCGUUUAUUAGCAAUGAACGGUGAAUACGUCCCUGUCUCUUGCACACACUGCCCGUCAAACCAACCGAGUUUAUUUAUGGUGAAACCUUUCGGGGGAAAACUUUGGGUAGACAAGGUAGGUUAAGUCGUAACAAGGUAGCC
rnacentral:rRNA from 1 species